rnacentral:rRNA from 1 species
GACGAACGCUGGCGGCGUGCCUAAUACAUGCAAGUAGAACGCUGAAGGAGGAGCUUGCUUCUCUGGAUGAGUUGCGAACGGGUGAGUAACGCGUAGGUAACCUGCCUGGUAGCGGGGAAUAACUAUUGGAAACGAUAGCUAAUACCGCAUAAGAGUAGAUGUCGCAUGACAUUUGCUUAAAGGGUGCAAUUGCAUCACUACCAGAUGGACCUGCGUUGUAUUAGCUAGUUGGUGAGGUAACGGCUCACCAAGGCAACGAUACAUAGCCGACCUGAGAGGGUGAUCGGCCACACUGGGAAUGAGACACGGCCCAGACUCCUACGGGAGGCAGCAGUAGGGAAUCUUCGGCAAUGGACGGAAGUCUGACCGAGCAACGCCGCGUGAGUGAAGAAGGGUUUCGGAUCGUAAAGCUCUGUUGUAAGAGAAGAACGAGUGUGAGAGUGGAAAGUUCACACUGUGACGGUAUCUUACCAGAAAGGGACGGCUAACUACGUG